UACGAAGGGGGCUAGCGUUGCUCGGAAUCACUGGGCGUAAAGGGUGCGUAGGCGGGUCUUUUAGUCAGGGGGGAAAUCCUGGAGCUCAACUCCAGAACUGCCUUUGAUACUGAGGAUCUUGAGUUCGGGAGAGGUGAGUGGAACUGCGAGUGUAGAGGUGAAAUUCGUAGAUAUUCGCAAGAACACCAGUGGCGAAGGCGGCUCACUGGCCCGAUACUGACGCUGAGGCACGAAAGCGUGGGGAGCAAACAGG
rnacentral:rRNA from 1 species